GGGGGAAUAUUGGACAAUGGGCGAAAGCCUGAUCCAGCAAUGCCGCGUGAGUGAUGAAGGCCUUAGGGUUGUAAAGCUCUUUCACCGGGGAAGAUAAUGACGGUACCCGGAGAAGAAGCCCCGGCUAACUUCGUGCCAGCAGCCGCGGUAAUACGAAGGGGGCUAGCGUUGUUCGGAAUUACUGGGCGUAAAGCGCACGUAGGCGGAUUGUUAAGUGAGGGGUGAAAUCCCAGGGCUCAACCCUGGAACUGCCUUUCAUACUGGCAAUCUCGAGUCCGGAAGAGGUGAGUGGAAUUCCGAGUGUAGAGGUGAAAUUCGUAGAUAUUCGGAGGAACACCAGUGGCGAAGGCGGCUCACUGGUCCGGUACUGACGCUGAGGUGCGAAAGCGUGGGGAGCAAA
rnacentral:rRNA from 1 species